GUUGCAGUUAAAAGCUCGUAGUUGGAUCUAGGGACGCGCAUUUCAAGCGCCCGUGUCGUCGGGUCAAACCGGCGACUGCGUUGGCGUUGCGGGCUCGGUCCGUCGGUGCCCCACAAAGGUUAUCGGCGUGUCAACCGGCCCGCCCGUCCCCUCCUUCUGGAUUCCCGUUCCUGCUAUUGAGUUAGUGGGGACGUCACAGGGGGUCCAUCGUCGACGUGUUUCAACGCGUCGGCGGUGGAUCUCUGGGGCCCAGAUCGUUUACCGUGAAAAAAUUAGAGUGUUCAAAGCAGGCAGAUUCAAUUUUCUGCCACCGAAUACAUUAGCAUGGGAUAAUGGAAUAGGACCCUGUCCUCCUAUUUUCAGUUGGUUUUGGCAGCGCGAGGACUAGGGUAAUGAUUAAUAGGGAUAGUUGGGGGCAUUAAUAUUUAAUUGUCAGAGGUGAAAUUCUUGGAUUUAUGAAAGAUUAACUUCUGCGAAAGCAUCUGCCAAGGAUGUUUUCAUUAAUCAAGAACGAAAGUUAGGGGAUCGAAGACGAUCAGAUACCGUCGUAGUCUUAACCAUAAACGAUGCCGACCAGCGAUUAGGAGACGUUGAAUACAAAACACCACCAUCGGCGCGGUCGUCCUUGGCGUUCGUGUUCACGCACGAGCGCGAGGGCGGUUUAGCCCGAUGGCACCGGUGAAUGACUCCCCUAGCAGCUUGUGAGAAAUCAUAAGUCUUUGGGUUCCGGGGGGAGUAUGGUCGCAAGGCUGAAACUUAAAGGAAUUGACGGAAGGGCACCACCAG
rnacentral:rRNA from 1 species